rnacentral:misc_RNA from 1 species
UCUUUCCUUUCUUUUUUUUUUUUUUUGGAAAGAAAGGGUUGGGGGCAUUGGUUAAGCUUUCCAACUCAAAUAUGUCUUUACUCUUGAAACUUGAGUAGUCAAAGUAAAAAAAUUAAUGGUUGAAAAUGUCCUCAUGCCUUCUGAAAAUUCAGCAAAUGAUAUACAGCAAAAAAUAUUAUCAAUAAUAAAAGAAUAAAUUCACUCCACAGACAGAACUUUGAAAGCAACAUGAAAUAAUCAACAUAAUCAUUUUUGGUGGGCGAGCUAGAACUUACCAUCUUCCCAGAGGCAAAAAU